rnacentral:tRNA from 1 species
GGCUGUAGCUCAGUGGUAGAGCACUCGCCUAGCAUGUGUGAGGCACUGGGUUGGAUCCUUAGCACCA